GGACCUGGGUAAUAAUAGUUAUGUUCUUGAAACUCAAAGAAUUUGGCGGUAUUUUACUCUGUUUAGAGGAACCUGUCCUGUAAUUGAUAAUCCACGAUAAGAUUUACUUAUUCUUGCUUUCAUUUUGUAUACCUCCGUCAUCAGAGUAUCCUUUUAGGGAUUAUAAUAUUCUGCUCAUACAAAAUAUAAAAUGUCAGGUCAAGGUGCAAUUUAUGAAUAAGAAGAGAUGGGUUACAAUAAAUUUAUUUAAACGGAUUAUUACUUUUGUUGGUAAUAUGAAGGUGGAUUUAAAAGUAAAACUAUUUAAUUUAAUAAUUUGAUUUUAGCUCUAAAAUAUGCACACAUCGCCCGUCGCUCUUAUUUUAAAAUAAGAUAAGUCGUAACAUAGUAGGAGUACCGGAAGGUGUUCCUAGGAA
rnacentral:rRNA from 1 species